rnacentral:rRNA from 1 species
AUUGAACGCUGGCGGCAUGCUUUACACAUGCAAGUCGAACGGUAACAGGGAGCUUGCUCCGCUGACGAGUGGCGAACGGGUGAGUAAUGCGUCAGAACGUGCCGAGUAGUGGGGGAUAACGCAUCGAAAGGUGUGCUAAUACCGCAUACGAACUGAGGUUGGAAGGGGGGGACCUUCGGGCCUCACGCUAUUCGAGCGGCCGACGUCUGAUUAGCUAGUUGGUGAGGUAAAGGCUCACCAAGGCGACGAUCAGUAGCGGGCCUGAGAGGUUGAUCCGCCACACUGGGACUGAGACACGGCCCAGACUCCUACGGGAGGCAGCAGUGGGGAAUUUUGGACAAUGGGCGCAAGCCUGAUCCAGCCAUGCCGCGUGUCUGAAGAAGGCCUUCGGGUUGUAAGGGACUUUUGUCCGGGAGCAAAUGCUGGUGGCUAACAUCCACCGGAGCUGAGAGUACCGGAAGAAUAAGCACCGGCUAACUACGUGCCAGCCGCCGCUGUAAGAC